rnacentral:lncRNA from 1 species
UAGGGCGUUAGAAAUUCGGUGGAUGUAAGGUACCGAACUUCUGAAAUUAUGAAGUUACGGUGGGAUGUAAUAUACCGAAUUUUUAAUAUAAAAAUAAAUAUAAAUAAAAAUAGUAUGAGAUACUAUUUUUAUUUGACUUAGAGAAGUAAAAUAGAAGUCGGAAAUGACUUGUGCUGAAAUCGGACCUGAAACAGGAGAUUUAGAAUUUUCUGUAAAGAACGGGGCUGAUAUUUUAGCAGAAAAUGCACAGUGUCAGAAAAUUAUGAAAACUGGAGAAUAUGUCGGGAUUAUUUUAUGAGGCUAGAUUUAAAGUUUCAUGUCAUUCCGACACCCGGAAGGUGGAAAAUAAA